AUUGAACGCUGGCGGCAUGCUUUACACAUGCAAGUCGAACGGUAACAGCACUUCUGUGGCUGACGAGUGGCGCACGGGUGAGUAAUACAUCGGAACGUGCCUAGUAGUGGGGGAUAACUACUCUAAAGAGUAGCUAAUACCGCAUGAGAUCUAAGGAUGAAAGCCGGGGACCUUCGGGCCUUGCGCUACUAGAGCGGCUGAUGGCAGAUUAGGUAGUUGGUGGGAUAAAAGCUUACCAAGCCGACGAUCUGUAGCUGGUCUGAGAGGACGACAAGCCACACUGGGACUGAGACACGGCCCAGACUCCUACGGGAGGCAGCAGUGGGGAAUUGUGGACAAUGGGCGCAAGCCUGAUCCAGCAAUGCCGCGUGCAGGAUGAAGGCCUUCGGGUUGUAAACUGCUUUUGUACGGAACGAAAAGCCCUCUUCUAAUACAGGAGGGUCAUGACGGUACCGGAAGAAUAAGCACCGGCUAACUACGUG
rnacentral:rRNA from 1 species